rnacentral:rRNA from 1 species
AGAACGAACGCUGGCGGCAGGCCUAACACAUGCAAGUCGAGCGCCCAGCAAUGGGAGCGGCGGACGGGUGAGUAACACGUGGGAAUAUGCCUUUCGGUUCGGCACAACUCAGGGAAACUUGAGCUAAUUCCGGAUACGCCCUUACGGGGAAAGAUUUAUCGCCGAAAGAUUAGCCCGCGUUGGAUUAGCUAGUUGGUGAGGUAACGGCCCACCAAGGCGACGAUCCAUAGCUGGUUUGAGAGAACGACCAGCCACACUGGGACUGAGACACGGCCCAGACUCCUACGGGAGGCAGCAGUGGGGAAUCUUGGACAAUGGGGAAACCCUGAUCCAGCCAUGCCGCGUGAGUGAUGAAGGCCUUCGGGUUGUAAAACUCGUUUUGGCGGGGACGAUAAUGACGGUACCGCAGAUAAGCUCCGGCUAACUCGUGCCAGCAGCCGC